rnacentral:rRNA from 1 species
AUUGAACGCUGGCGGCAGGCCUAACACAUGCAAGUCGAGCGAGCGGCGGACGGGUGAGGAAUGUAUGGGGACCGCGCGUUAGAGGGGGAUAACUACUGGAAACGGUAGCUAAUACCGCAUACUAUCGGAUAAGGCAUAUGUGAUUAGCUAGUAGGGGAGGGAAUGGCUCACCUAGGCGACGAUCCCUAGCUGGUCUGAGAGGAUGAUCAGCCACACUGGGACUGAGACACGGCCCAGACUCCUACGGAGGCAGCAGUGGGGAAUAUUGCACAAUGGGCGCAAGCCUGAUGCAGCCAUGCCGCGUGUAUGAAGAAGGCCCUAGGGUUGUAAAGUACUUUCAGUCGGGAGGCGUUACCGACAGAAGAAGCACCGGCUAACUCCGUGCCAGCAGCCGCGGUAAUAC